GAUGAAGAACGUAGUGAAAUGCGAUGCUUGGUGUGAAUUGCAGAAUCCCGUGAACCAUCGAGUCUUUGAACGCAAGUUGCGCCCGAAGCCAUCAGGUUGAGGGCACGUCUGCCUGGGCGUCACAUAUCGUUGCCCAAUGCCUAUUGCAGUGCAAUAGGAAUUUCUAGGGCGAAUGAUGGCUUCCCGUGAGCGUUGUUGCCUCGCGGUUGGUUGAAAAUCGAGUCCUUGGUAGGGUGUGCCAUGGUAGAUGGUGGUCGAGUUAGAACGAUACCGAUCAUGUGCAUGCUCCCCAAAAUAUGGCCUCUAUGACCCACACGCGUCUUUUGACGCUCAUGACGAGACCUCAGGUCAGGCGGGGCUACCCGCUGAAUUUAAGCAUAUCAAUAAGCGGAGGA
rnacentral:misc_RNA from 1 species